rnacentral:misc_RNA from 1 species
CACCACUCGAGCCCAGCUCGGUGUUGGGCGCCGCGUCCACCGCGCGCCUUAAAGUCCUCGGCCGUGUGGUCCAUCCCCGAGCGUUGUGGCAUUACGUCUCGCUUUGGGUCGAUGGGUCCCGUCGGCCGUUAAGCCUUCUCACA